GAUGAACGCUAGCGGCAGGCCUAAUACAUGCAAGCUGAACGGCAAGAUUUGUAGCAAUACGAGUCCUAGAGUAGCGUAAGGGUGCGUAACACGUAUGCAAUCUGCCCGCAACAGGAGGAUAGCUUAGCGAAAGUUGAGAUAAGACUCCAUAAGAUCACGAGAGGGCAUCUGAUUGUGAUUAAACUACAAGGGGUUGCGGAUGAGCAUGCGUCUGAUUAGUUAGUUGGCGGGGUAACGGCCCACCAAGACGAUGAUCAGUAGGGGAACUGAGAGGUU
rnacentral:rRNA from 1 species